rnacentral:rRNA from 1 species
UACGAAGGGGGCUAGCGUUGCUCGGAAUCACUGGGCGUAAAGGGCGCGUAGGCGGGAUGGCAAGUCGGUCGUCGAAAUCCCUCGGCUCAACCGAGGAACGUCGAUCGAUACUGCUGUUCUUGAGGAUUGCAGAGGAGACUGGAAUUCCCGGUGUAGCGGUGAAAUGUGUAGAGAUCGGGAGGAACGACCGGUGGCGAAGGCGGCUACCUGGACCGGAACUGACGCUGAGGCGCGAAAGCGUGGGUAGCAAACAGG